rnacentral:lncRNA from 1 species
GCCAUUCGUUUGCUCUCUACCGGGUCCUAGUGGCCGGCCGACAGUCGGCCAUGGCGACCGCCCGCUCCUAUCGUGGCCGAGGUGGUAGCAGUGAGGUAGAGCGUCCGCGAGUGGUACCAAUGGAGUCGCGGAGUUGAGGCGGAGCCGAUGCGCGCGCGCGCGGAGGCCGAGGGCCUCACUAUCGGUCGCCGGAGUUGCGGCCGAGCCGCCGUGCGUGAGAGAGAGAGAUCUGACGGGUGGGGCUACCCUGUCAGUGGCUGAGAGAGAGAGAGAGCGCGCGGGCGUGCGCGGCGCGGACGCGGGCCGGAAGCAGUGGGCCGGUCUGCGGCCCAGUUUCCAAGCAGCCCACUGCGCAGUAGUCUUUUUCUUUUUCUUUUUAUGCAGUUUUUGUUUUAUAUUUGAAUUUGUGUAGUAAAUUUUGUGCUAAUCCAAAAAUUGUGAAAAUUUUUGUAUAGCUUACAUAAAAUGGAUAGAGCCUAAGAAAAAUGUUAGGUUUGAUUUUCUGGUAAUUUUCAUGUAUACAUAAAUUGCCUUUGUUUAUUAAUGAAUAAACCUUCCAUGAUUUUUAAUAGUUCAUAGGUAUAUCCAAAAAUCAUGAAAUUUAAUAUGUGAGCUUGUGUUAAUGUUAUUUAGCUCCAUGAUUAAUUUCAGCUCUGUUUGAUCAAGUAUGCUCUGUUUCUUGAUAAAGCUAUUUAAAAUGCUUAUAAAAGAAAUAGAAAUAAUUAAUCCCUUUAGGAGUUGGGUGAUAUUUUGGAUUAUUUGACAACCAUGGUUACUUAGCAUGAUAUGCUCCCUGGUUAUGGUUUAUUUUCAUGUAAAUAAUCUUUAUGGUAUGAUGGAUUCACAAUUAUUGCUUAAUAAAAAUAAUAAAGUUGGUUUAGUAGUGAUUUAUGCUUUGAUAGCUAGCUUUGUUUGUUUCUUUACCAUGAAGGUAAAGUGUACUCGAGAUAAUCAUAUUUUGUUAUAUCAUCCAAGAACAUGUAACUUGUCUUUAUCAUACCUUGAGUAUAUCAUAAUCAUGCAUAUGCACUUUUACGUAUAG